rnacentral:misc_RNA from 1 species
GUAACGUUUACUUCACCCAUACAAUUACUCUCUUUUCAUUUUACUCCAAAGGGAUUUCUUAUUUCUUUUUGACAUUACUCCUAUUCUAAGGGUCAGCGGUCAGUCAUGGAAAUCGACCGUUUGAGGGCUGCCCGUCCUUUCCACGAUCUUUAAUAAACUGCCCGACUUCAAUCAUUACGGGACCCAACCAGACUUUGCUCCUAAGCCAAAAUCAUCACCUCAUAGACUCUAAUACUUUUCUUCAAUACCCCCAAAGAUUUUAUAAUCUUAAUACUAACAUUUAAUAGUCAGAUAUAAUGCCCACGAUCAAAUAUUUAUAUACAUAUGAAGAAUAACAUAUAUAAACCUAACUCAAUAUGUAUGUAUAUGUAUAUGUAUGCCUCAUUCUCCUGUCAUGCACGUCUCCUUCACGUUACUUUCUUAUAUAUCUUUCCGUUAAAAAGCAAAGAAAAGAGAAGGUCAAUAUAUUCCUCCAUGAACCACCAUAUGGUGAGAUUAUCAUAAGGUGAUGUAUUUCUUUUUUUAUUUUGCAUGCAUAUCAG